GAUGAACGCUAGCGGCAGGCCUAACACAUGCAAGUCGAGGGAUAAGCCUUCGGGCUAAGACCGGCGCACGGGUGCGUAACGCGUAUACAAUCUGCCUUUUAUCCGGGGGAUAGCCCGAAGAAAUUUGGAUUAAUACCCUAUGGUAUAAGAGCACGGCAUCGUGCACUUAUUAAAGCUACAGCGGUAAAAGAUGAGUAUGCGUUCUAUUAGCUAGUUGGAGAGGUAACGGCUCCCCAAGGCGACGAUAGAUAGGGGUUCUGAGAGGGAUGUCCCCCACACUGGUACUGAGAUACGGACCAGACUCCUACGGGAGGCAGCAGUGAGGAAUAUUGGACAAUGGUCGGAAGACUGAUCCAGCCAUGCCGCGUGCAGGAUGACGGCCUUAUGGGUUGUAAACUGCUUUUGUAAGGGAAGAAUAAGGAGUACGCGUACUUUGAUGACGGUACCUUACGAAUAAGCAUCGGCUAACUCCGUG
rnacentral:rRNA from 1 species